GAAAUAUGAAGUUUUAUUAAAAGAAAAAGGGGUGAAAAGAACAAAGUUUUGUCUAUCUUUGUUCAUCAUAGCUGAAAGUUAGAGAAGAGAAAGGAGAGGAGAAAGCUCUUGAGUAUUUGGUCAUUAGGAGGAGGAAAAUUGAAGGCGGUUCGUGUGUAGAUCUCGUCAGCAUAUCGUCGCAAACA